CUUCAUGGGGGUAGAGGGGGAAUGGUUUAAAAGUUGACAACACCUCCCAAGGGAAUAGCAGGUGCUGUGUGUUAAAUGCUCUGCCAGGUGACUUCACUUCAUCAUCAUAGCACUGAUGAAGGAGUAACAUCAUUGCCUUUUUUUCAGGAGGAAAUCCAAGCUGGGGGAAUUAAAUAAUUCUGUUAGGGUGACAUUCUUAACAAGUGACCAGCCCAAUUUUAAACCCCAGCAUUGUCCCUACAGGCUCUCUGCUCUUCAGCCACCAUGCAAGACAAUUUCAGCCAUAGAACCUAUGGACACUGCCCUUUGGGCAAAGGACACAGAGGGAGCUGUCAUGCAUAAAGUUAUCAGCACUCAAGAUGAAAAACGGAAGCCCUUCCUCGAGGCAGUCCACCUGCCUGGCAAACAGUUGUUUUUUUAAGUAGGUAAGACCUCCCAGAUCCUGGAGAGAAAUGUGUACCUUGUGGCUAGAAGACCUUUCAGGAGCACAGCUUGGGUGGGCA
rnacentral:lncRNA from 1 species